rnacentral:rRNA from 1 species
GACGAACGCUGGCGGCGCGCUUAACACAUGCAAGUCGAACGGAAAGGCCUGCUUUCCCUUGUGGAUUGCGGGUACUCGAGUGGCGAACGGGUGAGUAACACGUGAGUGAUCUGCCCCCAACUUGGGUAUAAGCCUGGGAAACUGGGUCUAAUUCCCGAUAGGACUGCAGGGUGGUGCCUGUGGUGGAACACGAUUUUCUAGUGGUUGGGGAUGAGCUCGCGGCCUAUCAGCUUGUUGGUGGGGUAAUGGCCUACCAAGGCGGCGACGGGUAGCCGGCCUGAGAGGGUGGACGGCCACAUUGGGACUGAGAUACGGCCCAGACUCCUACGGGAGGCAGCAGUGGGGAAUAGUGCACGAUGGGCGGAAGCCUGAUGCAGCGACGCCGCGUGGGGGAUGACGGCCUUCGGGUUGUAAACUCCUUUCGACCGCGAGGAAGCCACCUGGUUGGAAGGGUGGUGACGGUAGUGGUAGAAGAAGCACCGGCUAACUACGUG